GUGAAAGGGACCUAUACCCCCGUCAGCUGCAGGAAAGGAACAAAGAGACAGGUGAUUAAUGCCCGGUGAGAGGGUGAAAGGGACCUAUACCCCCGUCAGCUGCAGGAAAGGAACAAAGAGACAGGUGAUUGAUGCCCGGUGAGAGGGUGAAAGGGACCUAUACCCCCGUCAGCUGCAGGAAAGGAACAAAGAGACAGGUGAUUAAUGCCCGUUGAGAGGGUGAAAGGGACCUAUACCCCCGUCAGCUGCAGGAAAGGAACAAAGAGACAGGUGAUUGAUGCCCGGUGAGAGGGUGAAAGGGAC